rnacentral:misc_RNA from 1 species
AGGACGCCGAAGGUGGGGCUAAUGACUGGGGUGAAGUCGUAACAAGGUAGCCGUACCGGAAGGUGCGGCUGGAUCACCUCCUAACAGGGAGACAACAAAAUGUAAAUAUUAAUUUUGUCACCUUAGGUCGAUCGGUAUCUCAGAUUCUUAUUUUUUAAGGAUUUCAGUUUCUAAGUUUUUUCUAGGUCACACCCAUCACUUUUUCCUGGGCCAUUAGCUCAGGUGGUUAGAGCGCACCCCUGAUAAGGGUGAGGUCCCUGGUUCAAGUCCAGGAUGGCCCAUAUCUCUAUGUUGGGGGUAUAGCUCAGUUGGUAGAGCGCCUGCUUUGCAAGCAGGAUGUCAGCGGUUCGAGUCCGCUUACCUCCACUGAAUACCACCUCUUACAUGUAUUCAAAGACGGAAAUUGUUUUGAGUCGUGUCCUAAUUUGCUCUGAGCGAAUCUAGCUUCCUAUUUUAUUCAUUAAAUAAGAUGCUGGACUCAUUGAAUUUUUCAUUGUUUUCAGAGAACCUUGACAACUGCAUAGAUUAUUUUAUAAGACAAUAAGCAUCUUUAAUGAUGCAGAUUUAUUAUUUGUGCGAAAGCAUUAAAUAACAAUUCUAUUAAGCUGAUGCUUCAAUUAUUGAAGUUAUUGGUCAAGCUACAAAGGGCUCACGGAGGAU